rnacentral:rRNA from 1 species
UACGAAGGGGGCUAGCGUUGUUCGGAAUUACUGGGCGUAAAGCGCGUGUAGGCGGGUCUUUAAGUCAGGGGGGAAAUGCCAAGGCUCAACCUUGGAACUGCCUUUGAUACUGGAGAUCUUGAGUCCGGGAGAGGUGAGUGGAACUGCGAGUGUAGAGGUGAAAUUCGUAGAUAUUCGCAAGAACACCAGUGGCGAAGGCGGCUCACUGGCCCGGAACUGACGCUGAGACGCGAAAGCGUGGGGAGCAAACAGG